UUCCUCUCCAGCUUGCUUCUUCCCCUUCAGAUCUGGAGGGCACUAAGUUUGGCUGUGCCCAGGCUAGCAAACCAGAGAUAGCAGUGGGGCACGCCCAGCCGUGGGGCAGAGGCCUAGAUGGGCAACUUCCUGGGGCACUGGGGGGGGAGCAACCAGAAAACCUCACCUUUACUCACUUCACCCUGUGCCAGCCUCCUCUCUGACCUUGUUUGAAAUUCUCUCCAUUAGUCACCACUGACAAAACCACGCAGUGGGUGUUGUUAUCAUGCCUUAGAAGUUGGAACCGGUCUGAGUGGAUGAGGAGCAGUGCGGGUCACCAACUUCAAGACAAUUCGCAAAUGCCACAUCUAGUUAUGAAGUCUCCUUAUGUGCAAUACUGCUGGAAGUUUCUGGAGCAUGAAGCAUUGAUGAGCGUUGGCAGCAGGGGCCUAGGAAGUCUUCCUAAGAGACAAGGACACAGACACACAGAGGGCAGACCCCGUGAAACACAGGGAGAAGACAGCUGUCUCCAAGCCGAGGCCCUCCUGGAUCUCAGACUUCAGCCUCCAGAAUCAUGAAAAUAAGUUUCUGUUGUUUAAGGC